GAUGAACGCUGGCGGCGUGCCUAAUACAUGCAAGUCGAGCGAACAGACGAGGAGCUUGCUCCUCUGACGUUAGCGGCGGACGGGUGAGUAACACGUGGAUAACCUACCUAUAAGACUGGGAUAACUUCGGGAAACCGGAGCUAAUACCGGAUAAUAUCUUGAACCGCAUGGUUCAAUAGUGAAAUACGGUUUUGCUGUCACUUAUAGAUGGAUCCGCGCCGCAUUAGCUAGUUGGUAAGGUAACGGCUUACCAAGGCAACGAUGCGUAGCCGACCUGAGAGGGUGAUCGGCCACACUGGAACUGAGACACGGUCCAGACGCCUAAGGGAGGCAGCAGUAGGGAAUGUUCCGCAAUGGGCGAAAGCUUGACGGAGCAACGCCGCGUGAGUGAUGAAGGUCUUCGGAUCGUAAAACUCUGUUAUUAGGGAAGAACAAAUGUGUAAGUAACUAUGCACGGCUUGACGGUACCUAAUCAGAAAGCCACGGCUAACUACGUG
rnacentral:rRNA from 1 species